AAAGUUGAAGGAAAAGAGUGGGAGAGCUUUGAAUCAUGAAUUAUUUUAUACUUGUGUUGACAUCAAUUUUUGCUUUGAUUUUUGUAUAUAGUCUAGCAAAAUUAUCCAGCAAAAAACUUCCACCAGGGCCAUCACCAUGGCCAAUUGUUGGAAGUCUUCAUUUGUUUGGUGCAAAACCUCAUGUAUCACUAGCCAAUCUUGCAAAAAAUUAUGGUCCAAUUAUGAGUUUAAAAAUGGGACAAAUAACAACAAUAGUAAUUUCUUCAUCAUCCAUGGCAAAACAAGUCCUCAAAAAUCAUGACUUAGCCUUUUCCACUAGAUUUGUACCUGAUGGCCUUCAAGCACAUAACUAUUGCAAAUUCUCUGCUGUUAUGGCUUCCUGUUUGUCCUCAAUGGCGAAUGCUUAAGAAAAUCUUGAACACCAAACUCCUCUCUACCAAUAGGCUUGAUGCAAAUCAACAUCUAAGAUCUCAAAAGGCGAAAGAAUUGAUUGAUUAUUGUGAAAAAUGUAGCCAACAAGGUGAAGCUGUGGAUGUAGGUCAGAUUGUUUUCUCCAAGGAUUUGGUUCAUCUUUAUUCGGAUUCAAAGGUAGAAUUGAAUUAUAACAUGAUUCAUCGUUGAUGUUGCAACCUAGUGGAUUAUUUCCCUAUACUUGGAAAGAUUGAUCCUCAAAGAAUGAGGUAUCACACAAACAUCUAUUUUGGUAAGUUGAAUAAACUCUUUGGUGAUAUGAUCAAUGAGCGGUUGGAAGAAAAGAGUGAUAUUUUACAAGUGCUUCUCAACCACAGUGCAGAAAAUCCCCAAGAGAUGGAUCAAAAUUAUGUUAAUUCCAUGCUCCUGGACUUAUUUAUUGGUGGAAUCGAUACAAUUACAAGCACGUUAGAAUGGGCAAUGGCAGAAAUACUUAGACAACCAGAGAUUAUGAAGAAAGUCCAAGCUGAACUUGCACAAGUCGUUGGAAAAGGAAAACCAAUAGAAGAGGCUGAUGUAUCCAGACUCCCUUACUUGCAAUUUAUCAUCAAAGAAACAUUAAGACUUCACCCACCAGCUCCAUUCUUAAUCCCCCGCACGGUAGACCAAGAUGUUGAAUUGUGUGAUUAUAUCAUUCCAAAGGGUUCACUAGUACUAGUCAAUGCGUGGGCAAUUGGUCGUGAUUCUUCUUUUUGGGAAGACGCUUUAGUGUUCAAACCUGAGAGAUUCCGGAGUUUAGAAUUGGAUAUGCGUGGAAAAGAUUUUGAAUUGAUUCCGUUUGGUGCUGGCCGAAGAACAUGGAUUUCCAUUGGCAUUGAGAUUGAUGCCAGCAAUAUUGGGCUCGAUGUUGAAUUCAUUCAAUUGGAAACUUGAGGCAUGUAUUGAGCCAAAAGACUUCGACAUGGAGGAGAAAUUUGGUGUCAUCUUAGGCAAAGCUCAUCCUUUGCGAGCUAUCCCAUCUCCUCUUUGA